CGGAGAGCGCGCGGGUGGGAUCGUGAGGGGCGAAAUGCGCGGCUGCACGUGGCCCGGUGGCGUCUUGGUGUGCAGUCGUCGCAAAGCAAUUGUUUUUUCCCUUAGCAGUCACGGUUUUCGAAUCUGUAAAAUGGGAUUGUUCCUAUCUACCUUUUGAGGCUACGUGAAUCAAGUCUGGAGAUGAGCUGAUGAGAAUUUUGUCUUAAUCACUACUGCAUCCCCACUGCCUAGAACGGUGCCCGACAUAAUAGAUGCUCAGUAAAUAUUGGACACCCAUACAGCCAGGAAGGCAAAGCCUUUUGUAGACCUGGAAGUGCUCUACAAACAUUUGGAAUGAGUUAGAGGGCACUGGAUUCCGUUCUCAGCCUGUGGGAUGAGGAGGAAACACCCUUGUCCGGAGCCCCUUCUCUUCAGAGCAGAAAAAGAGAGCCGAGGCUGGAUGCUGGGUCCCAUCUGACAUCUCCGGAAUAAAGGAUAGGAAGGCCCCCGAGGGACCUGGAAGCCAGCCCUUCCCCUUCGUGGCCCAUCUCGGUCUCACCCAAAGGCCUGUGUUUGCGGAUUUGGGAGCAGGGGACCUGCCCGGUUGCUCUUUCCCUGCGAGAAGACACAGCAGGGAACGGGCCCCAGACAUCCAGCCCAAUAAUAAUAACUUCUACAGCACUGACUGCAUUCCAGUCUCUGUUCUAAGCACUGUAUGUUAUUAAUCUCCAUAACAAUUCUAUGAGAUACUUUUGUUUUUAAAAAAAUUUUACAUAACAUACAUUACCCAUUUUAAGUGUCCAAUUCAAUGAUUUUUAGUAAAUUUACA
rnacentral:lncRNA from 1 species